UUACCGAGUGAGGGCCCUCUGGGUCCAACCUCCCACCCGUGUUUAUUUACCUUGUUGCUUCGGCGAGCCUGCCUUUUGGCUGCCGGGGGACGUCAGUCCCCGGGUCCGUGCUCGCCGGAGACACCUUAGAACUCUGUCUGAAGAUUGUAGUCUGAGAUUAAAUAUAAAUUAUUUAAAACUUUCAACAACGGAUCUCUUGGUUCCGGCAUCGAUGAAGAACGCAGCGAAAUGCGAUACGUAAUGUGAAUUGCAGAAUUCAGUGAAUCAUCGAGUCUUUGAACGCACAUUGCGCCCUCUGGUAUUCCGGAGGGCAUGCCUGUCCGAGCGUCAUUGCUGCCCUCAAGCACGGCUUGUGUGUUGGGCCCCGUCCUCCUUCCGGGGGACGGGUCCGAAAGGCAGCGGCGGCACCGCGUCCGGUCCUCAAGCGUAUGGGGCUUUGUCACUCGCUUUGUAGGCCUGGCCGGCGCUUGCCGAUCAACCAAACUUUUUAUCAGGUUGACCUCGGAUCAGGUAGGGAUACCCGCUGAACUUAAGCAUAU
rnacentral:rRNA from 1 species